AGCAACUGUGUGUGUGCAAUCGCCAUUUGUCUAGUGGAAGCGAAACGAUUCGGAGCUUUUAUUCUUAGAAACAACAGCAAGGGUUCACGCAGUCGUAAAAACUGCACUAGCUGAUGAACAAUAUGCAACGGCGGUAGUUCCACAAUCUUAAACACAUCGUCACAACAACAAUGAUUCUACAGCAGUACUUGGCGACGAUACCCAGCUAAAACCAUCACCAUCAUUACCACCGACAGCAGCCCAUAAAUUCGGACGGAGAGAAAGCGAUAUAUGUGUCCCAUCUGCGAUAUAAUUUCAUCCGCAAAUCAUGACUUCAAAAAACCGUGUCCAAGGAUGAUGGGGAGGAUCAGUUUGUGUGGAAAAUUGGCUCCAAGGCGCUUCAUUGCUGGAUCGGUACAUGCUGCCUCCGCUCGGACAUGGAGUAGUAACAUUCCUAAUUCUGGUCGAAGCGCGGAGGACAUUAUUGGAUGCGCAACCGGAUAAUUUCGACCGCGACGGGAGCGUCGGCAAUCAAGCAAUCCGCCAAGGGAAAUAGACAAAGGUAAAGAUCCGUCGGCGAAGGCGAUCGAUAGUGGCAAGGACGAAAAAGAUUUGGCGCUGGUUUCGAAAUCGGUUGACAGUGCUACGAACAUGGCUAUUUUAGAUUUGAUGUUCCGUUGUCAUUUUCGAUUGGGAUUUCCAGUGAAAAUAGGUAAAUGCUUAAUUAUUUUUAAAAUAUUUUCGUUCUACUUUGUAGAAAUAUCGCUAUUCUGUGUGGUUGUCAUAUUUGACAACGUAUUCGCAUAAGAGACACCCGUAACCAGCGUGAGCCACAUCAAGGAAACGAAGAGCGUGCGACAUGCAUUAUCGAGGAUUACUGUUUUGGUGUCCCAUCCGAGUACGUACGACGGGGUGCCGAUUUCAGGAAAGCAGGAAAGGGAAAGGAAAACCUACAGAAAAAGGUUUUCAAUAAUUUUAUAAAAUUAAGAAUAGAAUAAGAACAUUAAUAAGAAUAAAAAUAUUCGCAAUAAAAAAUAAUUAUUUGAAAGUAUCGUCAUCAUC